UCCCUGGUGGUCCAGUGGCUAAGACUCCGCACUCCUAAUGCAGAGAACCCGGGUUCCAUCCUUGGUCAGGGAA
rfam:TPA: Bos taurus chromosome 15, whole genome shotgun sequence.